UCUCCCUCUCUCUUGCUCAGAUAAACACACAUAUAUAGUUGAAACUUGAUAAUGUUUUAUACUAAUGGUCAAUGCGAUUAGGCUUUGCCUAAUCUUUUCUGAAAAAACAAAAAAUGUAAUAACAGAAAUUAACAAGGUCAGUUUUCAUUUUAGGUAGAUGGGGUAAUUCCGAUAGCUACCACAAACGAAGCACGGGGAUGCACUGUAGAUGCUGAUUGCUGGG
rnacentral:lncRNA from 1 species